rnacentral:rRNA from 1 species
AANUUGAGUGCAGGAGAGNAAANCGGAAUUCCCACGUGAAGCGNUGAAAUGCGUAGAGAUGUGGAGGAACACNANUGGCGAAGGCGGCUUUUUUGGACUGUAACUGACGUUGAGGCGCGAAAGCGUGGGGAGCAAACAGGAUUAGAUACCUUGUUAGUCCACNCNGUAAACGAUGAGUGCUAGNUGUAAGGGGUUUCGAUACCCUUGGUGCCGAAGUAAACACAAUAAGCACUCCGCNUGGGGAGUACGNUCGCAAGAGUGAAANUCAAAGGAAUUGACGGGGACCCGCACAAGCAGUGGAGUAUGUGGUUUAAUUNGAAGCAACGCGAAGANCCUUACCAGNUCUUGACAUCCCCCUGAAAGCCCNAGAGAUGGGGUCNUCNUUCGGGACAGGGGAGACAGGUGGUGCAUGGUNNUNGUCAGNUCGUNUCGUGAGAUGUUGGGUUAAGUCCCGCAACGAGCGCAACCCUUGAANUUAGUUGCCAGCAUUCAGUUGGGCACUCUAAGUUGACUGCCGGUGACAAACCGGAGGAAGGUGGGGAUGACGUCAAAUCAUCAUGCCCCUUAUGACCUGGGCUACACACGUACUACAAUGGCCGGUACAACGGGAAGCGAAGUCGCGAGAUGGAGCGAAUCCUUACAAGCCGGUCUCAGUUCGGAUUGCAGGCUGCAACUCGCCUGCAUGAAGUCGGAAUUGCUAGUAAUCGCGGAUCAGCAUGCCGCGGUGAAUACGUUCCCGGGUCUUGUACACACCGCCCGUCACACCACGAGAGUUUACAACACCCGAAGUCGGUGGGUAACCCGNCAAGGGAGCCAGCCGCUCUAUUGU